rnacentral:lncRNA from 1 species
GGCAAGCGCGAAGGGGCUGACUUGGUGGCGAGCCAGCCCGCCUUGUGUCGGAGAAGGGUUCUUCGGGCAACUUUCCUUUCCGGGUGUUCUGAAGCGGUUUUCCUGUAAUCCUCAGUGAGGAAACCCACCGUGAAUCGGAUUGCCGUUCAGUCCCACGGAAGCCUGGCUCGUUGGCCAUGUCGGGGACGCAUGUUCAUUAAGUUCAUUAAAAUAAUUUCAUUUGUCUUGGCUGGAGCUACUCGGCCAGGGUUUAAGACUUUAAAUGAGAAUAAAGGGUGGUAUUUACGAGGAAAUGAGAGUGAAUAAGUCAUCUCUAACCUCUCCCAGCCUUUUUUUCAUAAGAGAGACCAUAUUAAACUUACAUGGGUCGUGAUUCCAAAUUCUUCAGCAGAAGGCUGAGAUUGGCAGAGAUGAGGAGGCCUGGAUUAUAGUUCUGCUUCUGCUACCUCAGCUGUGUGACGUGUUACUUAACAUCUCUGGACUUGGGCCAGGUGCGGUGGCUCACGCCUGUAAUCCCAGCACUUUAG